GGGGGCGAUACGGAUUCGACGGCAGUAACGAACCCUGAGGUGCAUGCCGUGAUGGCAGCCAAUCACGUAAAUCCAAAGCUGCAAACCAAUAGUUGCCAACGACGACAACUACGAGGUAGCGCUGGCCGCGUAAGCGGUCCAUCGUGACCCUCAUCUAGUGGCUUCGGCCCUAGCGGUCUUUAGCAAGGUGCCAGUACCGCGCUACUGACUGUCAUAGAGAACUGGAUCGCAGCCGGGCAUGUCCCGGGUCAGGCUGUUAAACAUAAACGGGGCUCGCCGACCACGUCCUGCCCGUCGGGCUGUGGAAGGCUAAAGCAAUAGACGGAACCUAAGCAUGUAGAGCCGAAGGCGGAGUACUGGCGGACGCGGGUUCGAUUAACACCA
rnacentral:tmRNA from 1 species